GCCGUCAAUUGCGUUGCCUAACACACCAACCGAAUCUGCGUCCAAGGUCAAACGUUCCAAGUCUUUCUCUGAUUACAGACAGCGAGCCGAGUCCCUGGAUUCACUGAAGGUGGAGGAAUAUGAAGAGUUAAAACAAAUGGAAGGUUCAGACGAUGACGACGAAGAAUCCGAAGAAGAAUCACCCCGUCCGCGAUCUUCUCACGUCCGGCGCAAAUAGCUGUUACAAAUAAAGAGGUCCAGAGUCUGAUUUAUUUCAAAGGUAUGUUAAAUACAAAGCCAGUACAG